CCUACGGGAGGCAGCAGUGGGGAAUAUUGGGCAAUGGCGGAAACUCUGACCCAGCAACGCCGCGUGAAUGAUGAAGGUCUUCGGAUUGUAAAGCUCUUUUCUAAGGGAAGAAGAAUGUGACGGUACCUCAGGAAUAAGUCUCGGCUAACUACGGGCCAGCAGCCGCGGUAAUACGUAGGAGGCAAGCGUUAUCCGGAAUGACUGGGCGUAAAGGGUGCGGAGGUGGUUCCGCAAGUUAGGAGAGUAAUUCCGGAGCUCAACUUCGGCACUACUACUAAAACUGGUGGACUUGAGUGGAGGAGAGGCAACUGGAAUUUCUAGUGUAGGGGUGGAAUGCGUAGAUAUUAGGAAGAACACCGGUGGCGAAGGCGAGUUGCUGGA
rnacentral:rRNA from 1 species